rnacentral:lncRNA from 1 species
UCCCCAAACUCACAGAUAAUUUGCAGUCAGAGGAUUCCCCAGAAAAGUUAUCAAAUGCGUCUCCACCUCUCCAUCAGGAGGAGUAGAAAUGACAGCUGCUCUUGAAUAGGCUUUGAUUGUGGAAGAAGCCUCCGAGCUCAGAGGAGCAUCAGACAACAUUGGUUCUGAUAUUUUUUUAAUUUAAUUUUUAUUUUUAUUUAUAAUCACCGGUUGCACAUUACAUCCCCAGAACUUCCUCUUCUUCUAACUGGAGAUCUGUAACUUUUUGACAGCUUUUUGGUUCUGAUGUUAAUAUAGCAAUCUUCCCUGCUUUCGUCUUGCCUGACUUAGUCUAUUCUCAACACAGCAGCCAAAGUGAGACUUUGAAAUGGAAGUCAUAUCGUAUCAUUCCUUUCUCAAAAUGCUCCCGGGGCUCUUCAUUUCACCCAGUCCUUGAACAUGUUGGACUCUUCCUCACUGAGGACUGGACUCUUCUGUCUGCCUGAAAAGCUCUUGCUCCAGAUGUCCUCAAGACUCGCUCCCUUAUCUUCUUCAAAUGUUUGCUCACAUGUUAUCCUCUCAGCGAGCUGACUCUGACCACCUUACCUAAAACUACAAGGGGAGCUGCCCUCCUGUGACCUACCCAGCACUCCCCAUCCCCUUUACCCUUCUUGAGUCUUAUCUCCACACAUUUAUCUUCUAAUAUAUGAUAUAAUGUACUUACUAUGUUUAAUGCUUAUUAGAAUGGAAUCUCCAUAAAAUUUGAUCGCUGUGCAUUUUGUUAACAGGUAUAUCUCAAGUGCCUAGAAGAGAGCUUGGCACAGAGUGGACAUUCAAUAAACACUUGUUGAAUACAUUAUUUAAUCUGAGAACAAACAUACUUUCUGCAUUACAGAGUGACUGGACACAUCGUCUCCCCAUGGCCACACAGAUUCAUUCUACAUUUACACCAACUACGUGCCAGGCACUGUGCUUGUGGAUUUUUCACAGACUGAGAGGUCAAGAGAAGACCCUGAAGUUUCAGGGCAGUUUUUACUCCAAAUCCUGAGUCUAAAACCCUUGGCUAGUAAUGAUGAUAAGAAACACAAGAUAGGUUGGCUAUCCCAAUGCACAGGAAACUUUGGUCUGUUUUCUGUCUGGAACUUUGAGAGUAUCCAGCUUUGCAAAAUGAUAUACUCCAACAUAUUUCAGCCACAGUAGAGUAGAAACAGCACUAUGGUCUAUUUAAAUACUGUUUUCCAAAAAUUUCUGAAAAUAUUUUGCUUGCCUGAAGGAGGUCAUGGAAGGCAGGGAAUUGAGAACUGCUGUGCCAACCAAAGAGACUUCAUCAAGGAAGGUACAUAGUUCAUGGACCAAAUGAAGGAUACCGUUGAAUCUCAGAAGACCAAUAACUCCAGCAAGAAAGGAGUUGGCAGUCAAGAUAGCUGGGAGAGACUGAAAAGCUUGCAUACUGAGUCUCAGAGAAAUUUCUAGAAGCUGCCACAUGGCAUUUACACUUACAUUUCAUUGACCAGAACUUAGUUCAUGGCCAUACCUAGCUGCAAGGAAGUCUAGGCAAUACAGGUUUUAUUCUGAGGCAGAAUAAAGGAGGAAAAGAGAGCA